UAAAGAUAGGGAGAGAAAUUGAAUUUAGGGAGAGAGAGAGAGAGAGAGAGGAGGAAGGAAGGAGACGAUGAAUACCCCUUCUUCGUCGUCUUCUCUUCCUCUUCUUCGCCAUUGCUAAUCCCACUCGAUCUCAUCGAAGCUUCCCCGCUGAGUCGGUCUCCAUCUCUCCGCGUCUCGCAGAGUCGAAGCAGUAGCUCGCUGCCCCACCUUACCUUCCGUCCGGUUCUGCAGUCACCGACUUUCCCCGGCCGCCGAUGACUCCCCCCGCUCCCUCCUUCUCUAGCCAUGUGACUCUGGUCCUCGGUAAUCUCCGCCUCGAGAGAUGACUCCGUCGGCUUCGCUUCGAGAUCCUCCCGCACCCCCGCUAGCGCCGACCAAGGAUUUUGCCAUGUCCACAGACGCUCACGCCCUAGCUCCCGGGGCCUCCUCUGCCAUGCCGGAGCCGGCGCCGCUGCCGGUCCAUUUCGUUCCGUUUCUCGCUUCCGGUUCUCAUUUGCUUUCGCUCCCCUCAUAUAGGAGGGAAAGGAAAGGGUUAGGAUUGAUCAUUAGGACUGUGGUUGACAAGGUCAAUUUCGUUUUCGCAUUGGGGCUGAAGCGUCGGGGCGUUCGAUUGGCAGAGCCGGAGAACGAUCUCGCCGUUUUGCAGCUCAGCUUCGGCUUUUUUGUUAGAGUUUAGCAUCCUAGUCGAGGCUAUCAACCGAAUCUUUCCUCUUUCCUGCUCUUGCCUUGUUAGCCUCUGGAAAGGCGGUGUUGGAGCAAUCGAAUUCCGGUAAACGAUACAGCACGAUGAGGUCAUCUGGCAAGUUAUUCGCUACAAACAUUGUAGUUUUAUGGCCAAGUGAGAAAAUCCCACCUCAGAAAUCUGCUUGCUCGCUCUGCCCGUUUAAUUCUUUUUGUCGACUCGAAGUGAUGUAUUGUUCGGUUUGAUUUUCAUUUCAUAUGGUUCUCUGUUUUUUUCCCCCCAUCUCCUGGUAGAAUUGAGAUCGGGAUCUUCUGCAAAAACCCUUAUAAUGUCACUGGGGUUUGUAACCGGAGCUCUUGCCCUCUCGCCAACAGCUGCUAUGCCACCAUUCGCGAAGAAAAUAGUUAGACCUUAUUUCCUUGUUAUGGUGCUUCCCAUGAGUUUUUCGAUGUAAGGAGCAUGUUUCUGUCGAUAUAUAAGUUGAGAAUUUUAUGAUGCAAUGACUCUGAUGCAUUAUGUUUUUGUCACCUGGGAAGCUGGGAAAUGGGAAAUUUCUAGACUACUUACGAAUUAGAUAGCUGCUUAGCUGAUUGUGUUCAACUAUCGACUUUGGAUGUAGACUGCUGAGAUAUGUAGGCUUUAGCUGAUCUUCAGUUGCUCAAUUUUUUUCUUCUGCAGGUGUUUUCUACUUGUAUAUGAAAACCAUAGAAAGGGCUCACAUGCCUAAUAAGUUGUGGGAGAGAGUAAAGCUACCCAUAAAUAAUGAGAAGGCACUUGAAAUUAUUGACAAGCAUCUGGUAUCGGAAAGUUAUGUGUAUUAGGCAGUUUUUUCAGUUGUAAAGACAACAUUUCAGUUUAUGUGUAAUGCAGUUUUGCAAAUCUUUGCAACUAAGUUAAUGAAGUUAAUGUAUUGUUCUCUCAA